rnacentral:rRNA from 1 species
GACGUAGGGCGCAAGCGUUGUCCGGAUUUAUUGGGCGUAAAGAGCUCGUAGGCGGUUUGUCGCGUCUGCUGUGAAAACCCGAGGCUCAACCUCGGGCCUGCAGUGGGUACGGGCAGACUAGAGUGCGGUAGGGGAGAUUGGAAUUCCUGGUGUAGCGGUGGAAUGCGCAGAUAUCAGGAGGAACACCGAUGGCGAAGGCAGAUCUCUGGGCCGUAACUGACGCUGAGGAGCGAAAGCGUGGGGAGCGAACA